rnacentral:rRNA from 1 species
AGGGUUUGAUCCUGGCUCAGGAUGAACGCUAGCUACAGGCUUAACACAUGCAAGUCGAGGGGCAGCAUGAACUUAGCUUGCUAAGUUUGAUGGCGACCGGCGCACGGGUGAGUAACACGUAUCCAACCUGCCGAUGACUCGGGGAUAGCCUUUCGAAAGAAAGAUUAAUACCCGAUGGCAUAGUUCUUCCGCAUGGUGGAACUAUUAAAGAAUUUCGGUCAUCGAUGGGGAUGCGUUCCAUUAGGUUGUUGGG